rnacentral:rRNA from 1 species
UACGUAGGGUGCGAGCGUUGUCCGGAAUUAUUGGGCGUAAAGAGCUUGUAGGCGGUUUGUCGCGUCUGCUGUGAAAAUCCGGGGCUCAACCCCGGACUUGCAGUGGGUACGGGCAGACUAGAGUGUGGUAGGGGAGACUGGAAUUCCUGGUGUAGCGGUGAAAUGCGCAGAUAUCGGGAGGAACACCAGUAGCGAAGGCGGCACUCUGGGCCGGUACUGACGCUGAGGAGCGAAAGCGUGGGGAGCGAACAGG